UGUCCCGUGGUGUAACUGGUUAACACGUCUGACUCUGGAUCAGAAGAGUCUAGGUUCGAGUCCUAGCGGGACAGCCA
rnacentral:tRNA from 2 species